ACACGUAGGGGGCGAGCGUUGUCCGGAAUUACUGGGCGUAAAGGGCGCGUAGGCGGUAGUUUAAGUCAGAUGUGAAAACCUUAGGCUUAACCUGAGGAUGGCAUUUGAAACUGGAUUACUUGAGGGCAGGAGAGGAAAGCGGAAUUCCCAGUGUAGCGGUGAAAUGCGUAGAUAUUGGGAAGAACACCGGUGGCGAAGGCGGCUUUCUGGACUGAACCUGACGCUGAGGCGCGAAAGCCAGGGGAGCGAACGGGAUUAGAUACCCCGGUAGUCCUGGCCGUAAACGAUGGAUACUAGGUGUGGGAGGUACCGACCCCUUCCGUGCCGCAGUUAACACAAUAAGUAUCCCGCCUGGGGAGUACGGCCGCAAGGCUGAA
rnacentral:rRNA from 1 species